CCGUAGCUGGCCGCGCAAGUUCGUCGGGAAAUCCACUCGCUUAACGAGUGGGCGUCCGGCGAAAACUGUGCGGCUUGGGACCGGAAGAUCCAAGGGGUACGUCCGGGGUAGGAGUGAAAUCCCGUAAUCCUGGACGGACCACCGAUGGCGAAAGCACCUUGGAAGGACGGAUCCGACAGUGAGGGACGAAAGCUAGGGUCUCGAACCGGAUUAGAUACCCGGGUAGUCCUAGCCGUAAACGAUGCUCGCUAGGUGUGGCGCAGGCUACGAGCCUGCGCUGUGCCGUAGGGAAGCCGUGAAGCGAGCCGCCUGGGAAGUACGUCUGCAAGGAUGAAACUUAAAGGAAUUGGCGGGGGAGCACUACAACCGGAGGAGCCUGCGGUUUAAUUGGACUCAACGCCGGACAUCUCACCAGCUCCGACAGCAGUAAUGACGGUCAGGUUGAUGACCUUACCCGACGCUGCUGAGAGGAGGUGCAUGGCCGCCGUCAGCUCGUACCGUGAGGCGUCCUGUUAAGUCAGGCAACGAGCGAGACCCGCACCUCUAGUUGCCAGCAGCAUCUUGCGAUGGCUGGGUACACUAGGGGGACUGCCGUCGCUAAGACGGAGGAAGGAACGGGCAACGGUAGGUCAGUAUGCCCCGAAUGAGCUGGGCUACACGCGGGCUACAAUGGUCGAGACAGUGGGAUGCGACACCGAGAGGUGGAGCUAAUCUCCUAAACUCGAUCAUAGUUCGGAUUGCGGGCUGAAACCCGCCCGCAUG
rnacentral:rRNA from 1 species